UACGGAGGGAGCUAGCGUUGUUCGGAAUUACUGGGCGUAAAGCGCGCGUAGGCGGCCUUGCAAGUUUGAGGUGAAAGCCCGGAGCUCAACUCCGGAACUGCCUUUAAAACUGCAUAGCUUGAGUCCGGGAGAGGUGAGUGGAAUUCCGAGUGUAGAGGUGAAAUUCGUAGAUAUUCGGAAGAACACCAGUGGCGAAGGCGGCUCACUGGACCGGUAUUGACGCUGAGGUGCGAAAGCGUGGGGAGCAAACAGG
rnacentral:rRNA from 1 species